rnacentral:lncRNA from 1 species
GAAAAGAGAAAGAAGAGAAAAGAAGAGUAAAGAAAAGAAAAGAGAUGAGAAGGAGGAGGAGGAGGAGGACGAUGGUAUGCAGUAUUCGUGCUUGAUGUCGUGGGGAUCGUGCUUACGAGUCUUCAACCGCGUUUUGAUCAGUCCAAAGAAGAAAGCAGGACAACGAGAGUCGAAAGCAUGGCGAGGUGAGGUAAGGUGAAUCGAGGUGAAGCUGUGGAGCGAAUCGCCAUGGCAACGGCUUCGCCACGGAUUCCAUUUACCUAUCGCUAUGGAAACGUGAGGGAAGGGGCGGGGAGGGCGUUUAGAGCUAUAGAACGAACGAGCGAGAGAGCGAGAAGAGGGAAGGGAGGGAAAAGCAUUGAAGGGAAAGAGAGAGAGAGAGAGUGAGGAGGUGGAGGAGGAAAAUCUGGACGAGAACGAGAGAUAGAGAGACUGAUGGUGGACGAAGAGGGUAGGAGAAGAGAGUGAGGGGUGGACAGGAGUGCCAAGGUAGGGGACGAAGUGGUCGUCAGAGACGAUAACACACCAACAGAUAUAUCGAUCAUCUAUCUAGGCAGCUGUUAUACACGUCAUUCUAUACCUUGGAGCCACCUCCUGGCAUGUAGCUUUGCAAAUCACGUAUACAUGUGUCCGCAUCUUUUUAUGUCUACUUCUUGCACACAUCUUUUUGAUGCUCCACGUCGCCGACUUUUGCAAUUUACAUUUAAAAAAAAAGCUAUAUAUAUAAAAUAAAAUGUAAAUGAAAAGAAAGGAUAGUAGUCCGAUUUCAAACAAGGAACUGACGAAAAUGAAAGACACAAUUAUAUGUCCUUCGGAAAAGAGGAGAGUCCCAAAGUACAGCUUACCGGUCUCUAAUUUUCAAUGUUAUUUCAGAGAAUAAAGUGGAAAGCAAUUAGAUGCGAGGACGCGCAUUACCAUCGCUAAUUUUAAACCUGUCCUAAGCGGCUCCCACGAUAGUCCCUACGAGUUCCUGUCAUCCCGUGCGAACGUGACCUCUUGUGAUGUGCCUUCGCAUUAAUCGUCGCUAAAUUAUCUAAGGUUCGAGUUUGUUAAAUGUCCAUGCGGAGACUUAAGCGGAUUGCGAUGGAAUUGAAGUUGGUCCAGCUCAAUGCUUUGAACUUGCCAAAAACGAAUGAGAGAAAGAGAAAGAGAGAAAACGAAGAGAAGAGAAGAGAAGAGAAAGAGAAAGAGAGACUGUGCCUACGAAUUAUAUCGGACUGACUGCUCUACCCUUUUGGUGAACCUUUUAACCCUUUAAUUGCUAUCGUCGCCAUUCGUCGUCGACGGCCAUGGUGAACCUCUUCAAAGUAAACCACGCGAUCACCGUCGACGAAACGAUUUCACACGCACCGAUUAAUUGCUACGAUGCCGAGAAUAGAAUCAAAAAAAAAAAAUAAAAUAAAAAGGAAGAAAAAAAAUGGAGACACAAAAGAAUUACUUUGAGUAUCAGAGAUUCGUCAAGCAGUAACUAUCACUUCUAUGGACGUUAUACUUCAAUGAAAAAACUUUGAUCACGUUAUUUCAAUCGAUAUUCUUACUAAUUGGAAAUCGUCCAUUUUAUUCAUUAAAUCGUUCGCGCGGGUAAUGAUCACUUUAGUAAAUUACAUGCACUCGCAAAUGGUCGGAAAAACGCAUUUCAAUCGCCGUUAAAAUUUUGACUUUGUUUUCUUGCGUUUGGCAAGCAAACAGAAACAAUGGGAAGAUGGAACAACAGAAAGCGUAAUUAAUUACUAUUUCACACGUUCCUAAAUUUAAUGCGAUCGUCGGUCUGCGGUCUUCCUUUCUCUACUUACGUCCGGUUAAAUCGUAAUUACUCAGAGAGCCUCUAGCAGAUUGGUCAGCAAAGGUUGGUGAAAAGGGCUGGUUGACAAGAGCCCGCUUAGCGAUAAGAUAAGAGAUUGCCAACACUUGUAGCAUUUGUGUGAGAUCGUUAAGAAAUUACUUUCAGGAUAACACAGUAAAUGUAAAUGCAAUCCUUGUAAAACAGAAUCCUAUCUGUAUUUUCUGCAUUUAGAUUGAAGAGAAAUAUUUUAAUUGAAAAAAGGUUUAUUUUUCUUUGCAUAACGUGUUUAAUCAAAAACCAGCCAUUUUGAUUUGUUUGAUUAGUUCCAGUGAUAUAGAUUGUGCGUUCGGCCAAAUCAACUAAUGAGAAUAAUAGUGGAAAGAAGAAUAAAAAGUUUGCAAGUUCUUUUUUCAUUUGAAAAA